UUCACAGUAACAGGAAAUACAUAGCAUGACAUUAUAGAUAUUCUACACCAACUUCCCCUUAAAUACAGGGGGAACGACAAUACCCAAGUGACCCUUCAGUAGUGACGGGCAUCUCGCUCCUGUACACUACACAUGCCCAAUAAAC